rnacentral:rRNA from 1 species
AUUGAACGCUGGCGGCAGGCUUAACACAUGCAAGUCGAGCGGAGAUGAGGUGCUUGCACCUUAUCUUAGCGGCGAACGGGUGAGUAAUGCAUCGGAACGUGCCCAGUAGUGGGGGAUAGCCCGGCGAAAGCCGGAUUAAUACCGCAUACGACCUACGGGUGAAAGCGGGGGAUCGCAAGACCUCGCGCUAUUGGAGCGGCCGAUGUCAGAUUAGGUAGUUGGUGGGGUAAAGGCCUACCAAGCCUACGAUCUGUAGCUGGUCUGAGAGGACGACCAGCCACACUGGGACUGAGACACGGCCCAGACUCCUAAGGGGGCAGCAGUGGGGAAUUUUGGACAAUGGGGGCAACCCUGAUCCAGCCAUGCCGCGUGCGGGAAGAAGGCCUUCGGGUUGUAAACCGCUUUUGUCGGGGAAGAAAUCCUCCGGGCUAAUACCCCGGGGGGAUGACGGUACCCGGAGAAUAAGCACCGGCUAACUACGUGCCAGCCGCCGCAGUAAGAC